rnacentral:rRNA from 1 species
AACGAACGCUGGCGGCAUGCCUAACACAUGCAAGUCGAACGAAGGCUUCGGCCUUAGUGGCGCACGGGUGCGUAACGCGUGGGAAUCUGCCCUUUGGUUCGGAAUAACAGCUGGAAACGGCUGCUAAUACCGGAUGAUGACGAAAGUCCAAAGAUUUAUCGCCAGAGGAUGAGCCCGCGUUGGAUUAGGUAGUUGGUGGGGUACAGGCCUACCAAGCCGACGAUCCAUAGCUGGUCUGAGAGGAUGAUCAGCCACACUGGGACUGAGACACGGCCCAGACUCCUACGGGAGGCAGCGGUGGGGAAUAUUGGACAAUGGGCGCAAGCCUGAUCCAGCAAUGCCGCGCGAGUGAUGAAGGCCCUAGGGUUGUAAAGCUCUUUUACCCGGGAAGAUAAUGACUGUACCGGGAGAAUAAGCCCCGGCUAACUCCGUG